GCUGGCUGGGGCGCGGGCUGGGGGCGCCAGCCGAGUGCUUUCCACCUAAUCCGUCAGGGUCCUGAAAGACAUCAAAAGACUCCUGUAACCUGAAACUUCCAUCGCGUCCAAACCUGGACCUGGAGGAGAGGUCCGGGCGGGGGCGGAGACCCCGGAAGGCAGGUCGUCCGCGGAGGAGGUGGGGGGAAGGAGCUGGGAAGGAGAAGUUUUAGUCGGGAGGCGCUGGGAAUUAAGCAAGAAGUUUAGACGCGGGGGAUGUCUGAUCGGGGAAAGGAGGAGGGCGGGAGCUGGGAAGGGUAUAUAUAGUGAGGGCUCGGGACGCUGCAACACUGUGCUUCGCCCCUCGGGUCGCCUGCCCCUCUGCUUGGGUCGCGCAGCGGAUCCUGCGGGAGGCGCCAACAAAAGAGGCGGGAGGUGCCACCCGGGGGCGGCGGCCGCAACGAGAGCGGGAGGAGGAGCGCGGAGCCGAGCGUCCCGACCGGCCGUGCGUACUUUCUGGAGGGA
ensembl:lncRNA